rnacentral:rRNA from 1 species
UACGAGUGCUCCAAGCGUUAUCCGGAAUUAUUGGGCGUAAAGGGUGUGUAGGUGGUCAUGUUAGUCUUUUGUUAAAUUCUUCGGCUUAACCGGGGGCAUGCAAAGGAAACGGCAUGACUAGAGGAUGCGAGAGGUGAACGGAACUCAUGGAGUAGGGGUGAAAUCCGUUGAUAUCAUGGGGAACACUAAAAGCGAAGGCAGUUCACUGGCGCACUCCUGACACUGAAACACGAAAGCGUAGGUAGCGAAUGGG